rnacentral:rRNA from 2 species
AGCGGUGAAAUGCGUAGAGAUCUGGAGGAAUACCGGUGGCGAAGGCGGCCCCCUGGACAAAGACUGACGCUCAGGUGCGAAAGCGUGGGGAGCAAACAGGAUUAGAUACCCUGGUAGUCCACGCCGUAAACGAUGUCUACUUGGAGGUUGUGCCCUUGAGGCGUGGCUUCCGGAGCUAACGCGUUAAGUAGACCGCCUGGGGAGUACGGCCGCAAGGUUAAAACUCAAAUGAAUUGACGGGGGCCCGCACAAGCGGUGGAGCAUGUGGUUUAAUUCGAUGCAACGCGAAGAACCUUAC